rnacentral:rRNA from 1 species
UAUUGGUCAAUGGACGCAAGUCUGAACCAGCCAUGCCGCGUGAAGGAUGAAGGUCCUCUGGAUUGUAAACUUCUUUUAUAUGGGAAGAAAUCCAUCUUUUCUUGGGUGGUUGACGGUACCAUAGGAAUAAGCACCGGCUAACUCCGUGCCAGCAGCCGCGGUAAUACGGAGGGUGCAAGCGUUAUCCGGAUUCACUGGGUUUAAAGGGUGCGUAGGAGGGCAGGUAAGUCAGUGGUGAAAUCUCCAAGCUUAACUUGGAAACUGCCGUUGAUACUAUCUGUCUUGAAUACCGUGGAGGUGAGCGGAAUAUGUCAUGUAGCGGUGAAAUGCUUAGAUAUGACAUAGAACACCAAUUGCGAAGGCAGCUCGCUACACGAAUAUUGACUCUGAGGCACGAAAGCGUGGGGAUCAAACAGGA